rnacentral:lncRNA from 1 species
GCCACCGCCGCGUAUCCGCGGUAAUUUCUAGUUUCUGUCUGUUUCGACAGGUGUCGCUGAUGUCGUUAACUUUAUUUACUUUUCAGUUGAUUCCCCAUAACAUGAAGAAAGCAGGCAUGGACAGCACUUUUUGAUGACGUACGUGGAGUACAAAAAUCGUGGCUCCUCCAAUCGCAUAAGACUAUUAUGCUUAUGACGUAUAAAAUGCACGCUUUUGGCAGCCAAUCAGUGUGUUCUUUUGACUCCUGUCCACACCGGUUCUCCUUUCACUAAGUUUAUUUUUAGUGUACUUCUCCAGCCAAAACUGCGCUCCUUGUGCUGUUACAUUCUUUCCAAUAUUUCUACAAUAUUUGAAACUGUGAUAAAAAAUUCAAAACCCUACCCAGGCUCUUUAUUUGAAUUUUGUGAGAAUUUUACGUUUAGUAGCGCGGAAGACAAGAAACCCAUUCUAUCACAUCUUCAACGGUUUUCGUAUUGGUUAGCUAAUAUUUCAAAUUUUUCUGAAUCCCAGUUAAAAUUUCAACUGACUGUUUGUUUACUAUCCACUACGUUAUGGUUAAUUGAAUUUUUAAAAUUUGUCCUAAGCAUCCUGUAAAUUUGCUGCUACAGCUUUAUACUCUGUGCUUGCGCAACAUGUCGAUUAACUCAAGAACUAUCUUAUGAUGACCAAUGCAGCUUAGAUGAAGAGAUGGAUUCAAAUGACAGAAAACUUCAGGGUCAAAAGGAUGAUGCCGCAUCAAAUUUCAUGGUUUCAGCGGCAGAAGGAGAUGCCAGUCAUUCUGCUUCAUUAUGCCCUCGACAACAUUCCUGUGAUUCGUACGACAGAGAUCUGGAAAAUGGCAGUAUUUUGGAUGCAUCUGCCGGUGAGAUAUGUUUCUCUCCAAACUCAGAAAAGCAAGGUGGUGACUACCAUACUAAGUUUUCCAAAUUUGAAGAAGCUCUAGAAAAUCCCCACUUUGACAAAGCUGUAGCUGCAUCUAUGUUGAAAACUUUCCGCUCCUAUUUGGAUGCACAAGAAACAAAAGAUAAACAACAGCGUGAAAAAAUAAGGAAACUGGAAAAACAACUUCGAUCAACAAGCGAGUUCAUUCAAAAGCAAUGUGAUGGGGGUUUGUCAAGCGGAGAUGCCAAGAAAGAAGUGGACAGUCUCCGAUCAAACUUAGUUAGUAGAGACGCAGAGUUGUUACGAAUAGAAAAUGAACUGGAGAAACAAACGCUAGAAUUUGAUAGGUACAAAUCAGAGACCUCUAAACAGAUUUUCAGUUUGAUGCGUAAAAAUGAAACCUUACAUCAAGAACUUAAUGCAAGGAAGUAUUGCUUAAAACCUGAAUCAGUCACCUCCGAGAAAAAUUCUGAUCUCCUCGAACAGUUCCAUAAUAAUAGUAAUAGGUGUAACCAAGAAAACGAGUUCCUAUCCACCCCAAGCAGUAACAAAUCAGUGUCAAACUCUGCAAAUUCAAAUAGCACCUGCGGAAACUGCUCCUUUUUAGAGAGCCAGCAAGAAGACUUACUGGCUGGGCGCCUAGCGUUUGAAGCCACUCUGAAAGCUGUGAAGGAAAUCCUAGAAAACAUUGCAUUCAAUCGCCAUCCAGCCGUCAACUCAAACGAUGAUGGAAAGUCAAAUAUCUGCACGGAGCUCAAAUCGCCAAAAAAAAAAUCAGUUGAGUCACAAACUAUCUCAUAUAAUGAACUGUGCCAACAAUACCUCGAUCACAUAAAUACUCUGAAAGAAAAUAUCUGCACGAGAGUUAAACAGCACGAGUCGACUAUUGCUGAGCUACAAGACGACAUGGAGAAGCAAUCUCGAACAGUCACCAGUUUGCAGAACCAGAAAAGAGCACUAAUCAAGGAAGUGGAGUCGUUGAAGCACAGACUGCAAGAAACGGAAGAGGGGGCAGCUAGGUUAAGCCAGAAGUGGCAAGAGGAUUUGAAAAACGCGGAAAACACACACAAAUCUGCUUUGAAAGUGCUCCAGUCCAAAGUGCAAGAACUCAGCUUAAACUUGGAGACAGAGCGCAAAAAUCAUAGCAACAGUAUUGCAAAAUUCGAAGCUACAGUAGAGCAGCAGGCAUCGAACCAAGAAAACAUGCUAGCAACAGUGUAUCAGAGUCGAUUACAAGAGAUCCAACUUUCUUACAACAAUGAUAUCAAAUCUUACAGUAACCGAAUUAGUGAACUAGAAGGACAGCUUCGGUCUGCUUCUGCAGAACGGUGUGAUUUAAACCAACAGCUUCAAAGUUGUCAAAGUGAAUUGCAGAACGCUCGGCUUGACAACGAUCAGUCAUGCAAGGAAAUCCAGGAACUGGUGAAAGUCAGUGAUAAUCUGCGGUUGCAGCUUGAGGAUAUGAGAAGCUCCAAAGAAAUAAUGGAGAAAGAGCUCGAAGCUUUACGCUGCAAAGUAACCCUUGCCAACAAGAAAGUUGAUGAGGUGUCUCAGCAGGAAAAAAACUUGUGGAAAGUUUUUAUAGAACGGUCACAAGCUAUCAUGGCAAAAGAUCCCGAGACCUGGAUGGAAAAAAUGCGAGACUUGAGUAUCGAGUCAACAAGUGAGUUUAAUAACCCCACUUGUGAUUCUUAUUUGACGAAUGCAGACUCUUUGAAAAACUUUCAUGAUGUAAUUAGUGAAGCCUCAAAUUCCAAAGAGGACUCGGGAAUUCUCGGCAGUAAUGCCAGCACCACCAUUUUGAUCGGUAAAGUGCGCAACGAGCUCGACGAAUCAAGUUUCCUCAACAAGAACAUUACAGAUGAGCUAAUUUUGUUGAGAGGUGAAAGAGUAGACUUGUUCAAUAGAAAUGAUCAGCUCACGUCUGAAAAUAACACACUGAAGUCAGCUCUAGAAGAUAAAGUUAAGAAAGAAAAUUUGUUGCGUGAAACAAACCGAUGUCUAGAAGAGCAAAUUGUCGAGUAUGAAAGGAGGCUUAGUCACUUGAAAAAAUUGUAUGAAGAAAAACGAGAAUACCAUCUAGCAGAAGGAGAAUGUGGCAGUCAUGAACAUCAAAGAAAAUCGUUGAGCACUGAAGAAAAGCGCAAUUAACUACUUUAGAGAGUAACACAUCACUCGAAUGGGGCAAUCAAGAAUACGAUCAUCUUUCCAAAGUAAAGUGUGAUUGUGGGGAAGUGAUAGAAUCUUUGAAACAGAAAAUAGUGGACCUUGAGCGAAAACUUGCCGAGAGUAUUUCUGCCGAGUCGGUGCACGAGUCUGUUGAACAACUCAUAGUUGAGAAAGAAUCUCUCCUUCAGAAAGAUUUUGAGCGACUUCAGCAAAACCGACUUCAGCUAGAGAAAGAAGAGACCCUGAGAGCAGAAAAUCAGGUGCUGAAGAGCUCUAUCCAAGAAGUAAAUCUCAAGAACCAAGAACUUGAAACUGAAA